rnacentral:misc_RNA from 1 species
GAUGAAGAACGUAGCGAAAUGCGAUAAGUAGUGUGAAUUGCAGAAUUCAGUGAAUCAUCGAAUCUUUGAACGCACAUUGCGCCCCUUGGUAUUCCAUGGGGCAUGCCUGUUCGAGCGUCAUUUGUACCUUCAAGCUCUGCUUGGUGUUGGGUGUUUGUCUCGCCUCUGCGUGUAGACUCGCCUCAAAACAAUUGUCAGCCGGCGUAUUGAUUUCGGAGCGCAGUACAUCUCGCGCUUUGCACUCAUAACGACGACGUCCAAAAGUACAUUUUUACACUCUUGACCUCGGAUCAGGUAGGGAUACCCGCUGAACUUAAGCAUAUCAAUAAGCGGAGGA